CUUGCGGCUAUAUCACGUUGAAACACCGGUUCCCGUACGAUUACCUAAGUUAAGCAACUCCGAGGCUGGUCAGUAUCUAUAUGGGUGACCAACUGGGUAUACCAGGUGAAG